rnacentral:rRNA from 1 species
AUUGAACGCUGGCGGCAUGCCUUACACAUGCAAGUCGAACGGCAGCACGGGAGCAAUCCUGGUGGCGAGUGGCGAACGGGUGAGUAAUACAUCGGAACGUGCCCAGUAGUGGGGGAUAACUGCUCGAAAGAGCAGCUAAUACCGCAUACGACCUGAGGGUGAAAGCGGGGGAUCGCAAGACCUCGCGCUAUUGGAGCGGCCGAUGUCAGAUUAGCUAGUUGGUGGGGUAAAGGCCUACCAAGGCAACGCUCUGUAGUUGGUCUGAGAGGACGACCAGCACACACUGGGACUGAGACACGGCCCAGACUCCUACGGGAGGCAGCAGUGGGGAAUUUUGGACAAUGGGGGCAACCCUGAUCCAGCAAUGCCGCGUGCAGGAAGAAGGCCUUCGGGUUGUAAACUGCUUUUGUCAGGGAAGAAAUCCUCUGGGUUAAUACCUCGGGGGGAUGACGGUACCUGAAGAAUAAGCACCGGCUAACUACGUGCCAGCCGCCGCAGUAAGAC